AUUGGAGUCUGCAACUCGACUCCAUGAAGUCGGAAUCGCUAGUAAUCGUGGAUCAGAAUGCCACGGUGAAUACGUUCCCGGGCCUUGUACACACCGCCCGUCACACCAUGGGAGUGGGUUGCAAAAGAAGUAGGUAGCUUAACCUUCGGGAGGGCGCUUACCACUUUGUGAUUCAUGACUGGGGUGAAGUCGUAACAAGGUAACCGUAGGGGAACCUGCGGUUGGAUCACCUCCUU
rnacentral:rRNA from 1 species